rfam:Salmo salar isolate Sally breed double haploid chromosome ssa16, whole genome shotgun sequence.
UGCACGCACGACUGUAAGUCGCUUUGGAUAAAAGUGUCUGGUAAAUGGCAUAUA